rnacentral:lncRNA from 10 species
AGCGACUCUCAUGCCUCAGGCUUCCAAAUAGCUGGGAUUACAGUGCAUUGGAAGCCACAGGAAGAUUUUUUUUUUUUUUUUUUUUUGGAUGGAGUCUCGCUCUGUCGCCCAGGCUGGAGUGCAAUGCGCCAUCUCGGCUCACUGCAACCUUCGCCUCCCGGUUUCAAGUGAUUCUCCGGCCUCAGCCCCCCGAGCAGCUGGGAAUACAGGAGAAAUUAAAUAUCAGAGUUGGAAAGGACAGAAGCAGCCUGAACUCUCAUCCAUAUGAACUCUGUACAACCAUUGUGGAGGGCCAUUGGCAGUACACAGUCAAGUUGAAGCUGCGCCCAUUUGUUUGCAUAUUGUCCAAGGCUGCUUUCCGGGUACAACAGCAGAGUUGAGAGACUGCACAGAGAAUGGAUGACCUGUAAAGGCUGAAAUAUUUACAACCUGACUCUGCAGAAAACGCUUGAGACCCUUGAUCUAAAUACUCAUCAGGGAAUACAGAUGAUGCUACAAGCAAUGAAAAUAGUAAACCACAGCUACAUAUGUCGACAUGACUAAAUCUCAAAAAUAAAAUAUUUUCAAAAGCAAGUUACAAAAUGUUACAGUAUGAUGCUAUUUAUAUGAAGCCUGAAUACAUGCACAGAAUGGUAUGCAUGUUUAUGGACAUGUGUGUUUGUAGUAGGAGAAUUAAAAUACGUGGUUGGGCGCCGUAGCUCAUGCCUGUAAUCCUGGCAGUUUGGGAGGCCAAGGUGGGCAGAUCACCUGAGGUCGGGAGUUCAAAACCAGCUUGACCAACAUGGAGAAACCCCAUCUCUACUAAAAACACAAAAUCAGCCGGGCGUGGUGACGCAUGCCUAUAAUCCCAGCUACUCCAGAGACUGAGGCAGGAGAAUCGCUUGAACCUGGGAGGUGGAGGUUGCGGUGACCGAGAUUGCAUCAUUGCACUCCAGCCUGGGCAACAAAAAUGAAACUCCAUCUCAAAAAAAAAAUAAAAGAAUUAAAAUAUGCAUGGAAAUACCCGAAAAAGAGUUCCCACUGGGAAGAAAGAGACUAGGACCAGGGAUCAGGGAGGGGGUUACAUAUAAAACUUCGAUGGUGUCUUUAAUCUUGUUUUUUUUUUAAUGACAUAAUAUGCAAAUAUGGAAAAAUGAUUUCAGCCGGGUGGGGUGGCUCACGCCUGUAAUCCUAGCACUUUGGGAGGCUGAGGUGGGCAGGUCACCUGAGCUCAGGAGACCAGCCUGGCCAACAUAGUGAAACCCCAUCUCUACUAAAAAUACAAAAAAUUAGCUGAGCGUGGUGGAGCGUGCCUGUAGUCCCAGCUACUCGUGAAGCUGAAAUAGGAGAAUUGCUGAACCCAGGAGACGGAGGUUGCAGUGAGCCGAGAUUACACCACUGCACUCCAGCCUGGGCAACAGAGUGAGACGAAAGACUCUGUAUCAAAAAAAAAAAAAAAAAAACGGCCGGGCAUGGUGGCUCACGCCUGUAAUCACUUUGGGAGGCCAAGGUGGGCAGAUCACGAGGUCAGGAGUUCAAGACCAGUCUGGCCAACAUGGUGAAACGCUGCCUCUACUAAAACUACAAAAAAAUUAGCCAGGCGUGGAGGCACGUGCCUGCAGUCCCAGCUACUCAGGAGGCUGAGGAAGGAGAAUCGCUUGAACCCGGGAGGUGGAGGUUGCAGUGAGCCAAGAUCACACCACUAUACUCCAGCUUAGGCAACAGAGCGAGACUCUGCCUCAAAAAAAAAAAAAAAAAAAAAAGAACCUGAGGGUUACUUUAGGGGUCUCCCAUGUCCACUGCAGUUCUAGAAUUCAGUGGCCCAUCAUCAACUGAGUGGAUAAACAAAAUGUGGUCUGUCCACACAAGGGAAUAUUAUUUGGCCCUAAAAAGAAUAAAGUUCUGGCCAGGCACAGUGGCUCACACCUGUAAUCCCAGCACUUUGGGAGGCCGAGGUGAGUGGUUCACCUGAGGUCAGGAUUUCAAGACCAGCCUGGCCAACAUGGCGAAACCUCAUCUGUACUAAAAAUACAAAAAUUAGCCAGGUGUGGUGGCGGGCGCCUGUAAUCCCAGCUACACAGCAGGCUGAGGCAAGAGAAUUGCUUGAACCCAGGUAGCGGAGGCUGUAGUGAGCCGAGGUUGCACCACUGCCCUCCAGCCUGGGCGACAGAGCGAGACUCUGCCUCAAAAAAAAAAAAAAAAAAAAGAAUAAAGUUCUAACCCAUGCUGCCACAUGGAUGGAAUUGGAAGACGUUAUACUCAGUGAAAGAAGCCAGAUUCAGAGGACCACAUCUUGUAUGAUUCCAUUCCCGUGAAAUCUCCGGAACAGGCAAACCCACACAGAUGGAAAAUAGAUUCGUGGCUGCCAGGGGCUGGGGAGAAUGGGAGGGUCCCAGGGAUGAUGGCUAAGGGGUGAGGGCUUCUCUUUGAGAUGAUCAAAACGUUCUAAAAUUGAUUGUGGUGAUGGUUGCACAAUUAUGUGAAUAUACUAAAAAACCAUAGAACUGUACACCUUAAAUGGGUAAACUGUAUGGUAUGCGAAUUCUAUCUCAAUAAAGUUGCUAAAAAAUAAAAGUCUCCAUUUCUCCCCUUGCCCCGCCCCCCAAAAAACACUAAAAUUUUAAUGGUCCUAUAUUCAUUCUUUGAAUGUUCACUCCAUGAGCCAAUGUCCUAGCUAGAAUGAAUCUCCAAGCUGCUUAGAAGAGUUAGGGACAGACUGUCAGAAAACUGGGUGUGGGUAAUUAACUUCUGCUACACCCAAGACAAUCUUUUCUUUUUGCUUUCUUUUUUUUUUUUUUGAGACAGAGAGUCACUCUGUUGCCCAGGCUGGAGUACAGGGGCACCAUCUCUCGGCUCACAGCAACCUCCACCUCCUGGGUUCCAGC